CCUACGGGGGGCUGCAGUGGGGAAUAUUGCACAAUGGGGGAAACCCUGAUGCAGCGACGCCGCGUGAGUGAAGAAGUAUUUCGGUACGUAAAGCUCUAUCAGCAGGGAAGAAAAUGACGGUACCUGACUAAGAAGCCCCGGCUAACUACGUGCCAGCAGCCGCGGUAAUACGUAGGGGGCAAGCGUUAUCCGGAUUUACUGGGUGUAAAGGGAGCGUAGACGGCAGCGCAAGUCUGGAGUGAAAUCCCAUGGCUUAACCAUGGAACUGCUUUGGAAACUGUGCAGCUAGAGUGCAGGAGAGGUAAGCGGAAUUCCUAGGGUAGCGGUGAAAUGCGUAGAUAUUAGGAGGAACACCAGUGGCGAAGGCGGCUUACUGGACUGUAACUGACGUUGAGGCUCGAAAGCGUGGGGAGCAAACAGGAUUAGAUACCCUAGUAGUC
rnacentral:rRNA from 1 species